rnacentral:tRNA from 1 species
GCGGGUGUGGUGGAAUUGGCAGACACGUACGUUUGAGGGGCGUAUGCGAGAGCGUACCGGUUCAAGUCCGGUCACCCGCACCA